rnacentral:tRNA from 1 species
GGAGAGAUGCCAGAGCGGUCGAAUGGGCCACCCUGGAAAGGUGGUAUAUCCGAAAGGGUAUCGAGGGUUCGAAUCCCUCUCUCUCCG